AACUACUCCGGUGGCCUAGUGGUUAGAGCGUCCGCCUCAAUUGCGGGAGGUCGUUGGUUCUAGUGGGUUCUAUCCCCGGUCGAGUCA